UGAAGGGUCUACAACGUUUAUAGCGUUUUCGACGGUGUUAGAUCUGCGGUGACUUAUGUUCAAAAUAAUCAAUCCAAAUUGUACUUGAUUUUCAUAUUGCACUGAUAGUAUAUAUACUAUAGUAGAAGCUUGCAUCCCAUUCAGGGCAUUUGUGAGGAUUUAUUUUUUACAUGGUGGAUGGGAAGGCUUAGAUCCAUUAUGGGCUUAUUGUAGACAGUCCUAUAUCUUUACAUCGAUCAUCAUUGUAUAAACAGAUUCUGCUAUUAGAAAGGAGACUUGCAUAUUUUUUCGUUUGUUUUCUCUAUCAGUUAGUCUUGCACAAUUACAACAUAAAUCAUAAAAAAAUGAAUGAAGAUAAAGGAGCACAAUUGAUCGUCACGUAUAUCGGCACCGCUGAUAAAAGAUAAGUGUAUUCCCUUACAUUGUGUACUUUCUAUACAACUAUAGCUUCUACUUUCAAUACAGAAAUACAGCAUAAGCAUUUAAAUUGCACACUAACCAUCUCUUAUUUCCAUAUCCAGUGUCCGCUUUUGAAGCUUUUGAUUCUAUUGCAACAACUGCAUUGGAUUUUAAAAUAUGUUCAUGGUUGAAACUGACACUGAUAUUACUGGACCAGAAACUCUAGGGAUGCAACCUCUUACUUCUCAUGCAAAACAGAGUCGAGAGGAUGUGUUCAAGCUUUCUUCCUUGCGAGAUUUUGGAAAACAAGUCAGAUUUCUCGAGGAUUCAAUGGAAUUGGACAUGAAUAAAGCUGACUUAGAAGUGAUUAUCAAGUUUGAAUGGCUCGAUCCUUCUUGAAUAAGGUCUGCGAAUGGAAGAAGGUCCCAUCACCAAUGAUCCUUCAUAUGACAGGACAACACUUUAUAUGGUGUGAACCAUUUGACACUUAUCCAAGAACCUAUGAUUUUCUGCAUGCUUCAUACCUUCUUUCCGUUGAGAAGAAAAGCAGGUGAAGUGGGUCUCCGCAGCUUCUGCUUCUCAGUGGAAUUGGACCAAGGCCUUAUCUUUCUUCAUGGGGAAUUCCUGUUGCUCAUCAUUUACGUUAUGUAAGUCACUUUCUGUAUGAUAAUCCACGAAACAGAAUCACAUUUCUACCGUCGGUUCCACUUGAGCAUACUCUCAUUGAGGUUGUAGGCAUAACUGAUUCAGGUGCUUACAUUGAAGCUGCUUCUAAUGUGGUUCCGUUUUCGACGCCGCAACAAAUGGUUUUCAUCUGUCCAGCUACUUCUCCGCUUUACUUGACUAUCGUGACGCUAAUAUCGAAGAUUUCAGGACCGGUUUCUGCAGAGUUACUUCGGCUGGCUGAAUCAGAUAAUAAACCAUGUUGCAUGGUUGUUGAACCGAAAUAUUAGGACUGUUGUACCGAAUGAUGCAGGGACUGAACCGAGUUAUACAGGUGAUGUACCAAAUGAUGCAGGGGAGAAACCAAGUCGUACACCUGAUAUAUUGAAUACUGCAGGUGCUGAAUCAGGGACGCGGUGAUGGCUGUUUGAAACUCCUGUAUAAGGGCCUUCACCGUAAGGAUCAAAUGCGAAACUCUCUUAGUGUAGUAAUCUCUUUUCAUCUUCCCAUCACCUAACUACUUGAUUAAUUCACUACUCUAUUGCAGAAGAAGAAUACCUAUUCAUCUCUUUUCAUCUUUCCAUCACCUCACUGUUUGAUUAAUACACUACUUACAUAUUGCAUUAUAAUGGUUUUGAAUAUGUAAGUAGCACUGUGGUGAAUGUAAAUCAAACUUGCUUUGUUCUUUUUUGGCUUAUGCCGAAGAGGACGGUCCUCUUCCCAUCACCUCACCUAAUCGACAUCAAAUGUCCGUCAAUGGGCAUUAGUGUCGGAUUGGACACUAACAAACACAUAUCAGGUAUUUGAUCACAAGACACUGGCACUGACACGGUGACAUCUGUGCCGGAUUGGACACUAACGAAGGCAUGUUACGUGUCUGAUUGAAAGUGUAUGUGUUGUUAAGGCAGAAACAUGAUUUGAUUUUUUUUCUUUGUUCUAAAGGUUUGUAUGAAAUUUGUUCAGAGAAAGAGUGUUUGUGCCGAUUACGAAGCCUUAUGUAUCAUUUAUUGGUAGAAGAACUCU